GCUGCCCUCAAGCAGAGCUAGGGUGAAGACAAGAGACAGGACGUGCCCUGUCCGUGAAUCUCCAUCAGGAAUUGACACCUCAGAGACCUCUCCCAAAGCCCCUAGAGGGGGUUUGGCUAAAGACAGUGGAACAGAGGGCAAGGGUCCAGAGGGGGAGCAGCAGCCAAAGGCCACAGAAGCUACAGUGUGUGCCAACAACAGCAAGGUCAGCUCCACUGGGGAAAAGGUUGUCCUGUGGACAAGGUAGGUAAGGGUGGAUGACGUGUGUUUGGAAAGGAGCACAGACCACGUCCAUGUGGCUCCCUAGGAUUAAUCAUGAUACCUGGGUUACAGGGAAGCUGACCGUGUGAUCCUCACCAUGUGCCAGGAGCAAGGGGCACAGCCACAGACCUUCAGCAGCAUCUCCCAGCAGCUGGGAAAUAAGACCCCUGCUGAGGUUUCCCACCGUUUUCGAGAACUCAUGCAGCUCUUCCACACUGCCUGUGAAGCCAGCUCUGAGGAUGAGGAUGAUGCAACCAGUACCAGCAAUGCAGACCAGCUGUCUGACCAUGGGGACCUUCUGUCUGAAGAGGAGCUGGAUGAAUGAGACUCUGGGAAUCAUCUACACAGGACCAAACCCAACAGGCGCCCUGGCACUGGGGAGGCGGGUAGUUGUACUCUGCUUGUACAGUCCUUGCGCCCAGUUUACAGACCUGGAGAGCAGGAGGCCAGGACGAGGACAAAGGCUGGAGGAUGGAGUAGGACCCAGGGGCUCUGCCAUCCUAGGCAUCCUUCAAGGUCUUUUAUGAAGACUUUACAGAUCUCUGUAAAUAGCAUCGAGAGUGGAGUUCAGCUCCUUUCUCUACUUUUUUUUGGUCUGAUGGCAUAUAUUUAUUGUUCUGUGGUCUAAUCGCAGUGUUUCUAAAUGUAAAAAGUACAUAUGUUGGUGUAGCUAGUCCCGUGACAUUGGGACUGCACGAAGACACUGGGCUCCUGCAUCCAGCUGUUUUUAUGGCAAACUAGCUCCUUUCUCCCACACUGGGAACUUUAGUCCACGAGGCUGUCACCAUCCUGGUAGCACUGGGCCAGGCUUUGUAGCUCCUGCAGCAGCUCUGCUACGUCAUCGUGCUCCACUCCAGCAUCCAUGAAGCUGGCCCAGCGCCGCAAGUCGAGUUUGGUGAGGUCUCUGGCCAAGGCUUCCAGGGUCUGGUGCAGGGACGAAGAGGAACACAGUGCCCCAAAC
rnacentral:sRNA from 1 species